GAUGAACGCUGGCGGCGUGCCUAAUACAUGCAAGUCGAGCGAACGGACGAGAAGCUUGCUUUUCUGAUGUUAGCGGCGGACGGGUGAGUAACACGUGGAUAACCUACCUAUAAGACUGGGAUAACUUCGGGAAACCGGAGCUAAUACCGGAUAAUAUUUUGAACCGCAUGGUUCAAAAGUGAAAGACGGUCUUGCUGUCACUUAUAGAUGGAUCCGCGCUGCAUUAGCUAGUUGGUAAGGUAACGGCUUACCAAGGCAACGAUGCAUAGCCGACCUGAGAGGGUGAUCGGCCACACUGGAACUGGGACACGGUCCCGACUCCUACGGGAGGCAGCAGUAGGGAAUCUUCCGCAAUGGGCGAAAGCCUGACGGAGCAACGCCGCGUGAGUGAUGAAGGUCUUCGGAUCGUAAAACUCUGUUAUUAGGGAAGAACAUAUGUGUAAGUAACUGUGCACAUCUUGACGGUACCUAAUCAGAAAGCCACGGCUAACUACGUG
rnacentral:rRNA from 1 species